UGACAAAUGGAAUGAAAGAACCGCAACUCUAGGUUAGAGGUACAUGUUUGGGGUCUAUGGAAGGCGCAAUGAGUGGGUCUUAUGGCCCCACAGGACCUAAAAUAUGAAAGGGGACUUAAUUUUAAGAGGCACCUGUGUCCUCUUUACCCAUGGGUACGCGCUUGUACGCUGUAUUUGAACACCUGCAUGGGUGGGACUCCCUCCUCGAAUCAGCCCAACCAUUCUUAGGCAGCUCUAAGAAAAUGCUGGCCGGCGCCGCGGCUCAAUAGGCUAAUCUUCCACCUGCAGCGCAGGCACACCAGGUUCUAGUCCCGGUCAGGGCGCCGGAUUCUGUCCCGGUUGCCCCUCUUCCAGGCCAGCUCUCUGCUAUGGCCCGGGAAUGCAGUGGAGGAUGGCCCAACUCCUUGGGCCCUGCACCCACAUGGGAGACCAGGAGAAGCACCUGGCUCCUGGCUUCAGAUCAGCGUGAUGCGCCAGCCGCUGCGCACGCACUGGCUGCGCCAUUGGAGGCCAUUGGAGGGUGAACCAACAGCAAAAAGGAAGACCUUUCUCUCUCACUGUCCACCCUGCCUGUCAAAAAAAAAAAAAAAUGCCCUGCUGAGAUGAGGUGCAUUUCUCCUCCCAUAAGUCUAUCCACUGAGCCUACACCUGUAUGCAGGCACACCUAGAAAAAAAACCCAUAGCUCUUGUCAUCACAGUUCUUAAGGUAUUUUAAACACUAGCAAGUUCCCAGACCAUCUUCUCUGUGCUAAUUUCUUCUUACAAUGCACUUUUCAUUCCUUACGCAUUCUAGUCCUGUCUGUAGUUCUGCAGACGUGCAUUGUAAACUGGAAUGCUGAGAACUGGAGAGAGAAAUGUUCCCCUUUCUUUCUCCUCUGCAUCACAGGUACACUAUCCCCCACAGGGCUACAAUCCAGCCUUGUGCCAGGCUCUUCCCAUAGCUUUAUCUCCAGUGGCUUGGGCUGCUGCAGUCUGUUAUUAUCUGCAAAUACUAGCUGAUAGAAUAAAAAAGGGAGAAAAUGAUCCAACAUGGGAAGUGAGAUACACAGCAGACCCAUAGAAUGGCAGAUAUCCUAAACAGCACUCUGGCCUCAGAAUCAGCCCUUAAGGCAUGCGGAUCUGGCUGAAAAGCCCAUGAGAGUAUUUCAGGCAUGGAAAGCCAAGACACUCUGGGGGGAAAAAAACCUAAAUGAAAGAUCUCCGUGAGUGAGAUCCCAGUGGAAAGAAUGGGUCAUCAAAGAAGGAGGUAGCUUUCUCUGAAGGGAGGAGAGAACUUUCACUUUGACCAUGGCCUUGUCUAAAUAUUAUCAGAGUCAGUGAACUCAGGGGGCUUCCAUAGCCUUGGCAGCUCAUGACAAGAGCCUAGGGUGAUUACUGAGGCCAUAAACAAGAGUGUCAAUUUGUUAACAACAGGAGUCACUGUGCACUUACUCCUCAUGUAGGAUCUCUGUCCUUAAUGUGCCGUACAUUGAGAUUUAAUGCUAUAACUAGUACUCAAACAGUUUUUUUCACUUUAUGUUUCUGUGUGGGUGCAAACUGUUGAAAUCUUUACUUAAUAUAUGCUAACCUGAUCUUCUGUAUAUAAAGAGAAUCAAAAAUGAAUCUUGAUGUGAAUGGGAGGGGAGAGGGAGUGGGAAAGGGGAGGGUUGCGGGUGGGAGGGACAUUAUGGGGGGGGAGCCAUUGUAAUCCAUAAGCUGUACUUUGGAAAUUUAUAUGCAUUAAAUAAAAGUUAAAAAAAAAAAGGAAGUGGAGUAUCC
ensembl:lncRNA